rnacentral:lncRNA from 1 species
UGGGGGGAGAGCAGUGGAUCUAGUCUACCUUGAUUUCAGCAAGGCAUUUGACACUCUCCCACAACAGCCUUAUAUCGAAGCUGAGGAAGUGUGGAAUAGAUGACUGGGUGGUGAGGUAGGAAAUUCCUCCUAGAUCCAUCAUGACUAAAUUGAGUGAAGUUGGAAGGACUGUGAGACGGACGGAGCUCUUCCAAGUGGGCCGGGCAUCUGCAGCACAUCCUGGGUAUGAUACCUCUGAUGGAAGUUUCUUCAUGUUUUCUGUGCAAGACUCAUACUGGAGCUGUGGCAGGGUUCCUGAAAGAAGUCUGUGCUGCUCUUUAGGAAUGUGCUUCUAGUCAGGGCAUGUUACUAAAUCGCUUCUCAUAUAAGCAAAUGCUUUCCAGAGAUCCCACAGCAAGUGGCAGGAGUAGCUCGUGCCCUCAGUGCAAUU